AAAACAAAGCAAUCCGACGAUGCGCCUCAUUUACAGUGAUGAUUAGGGUUGUUUAACUCAACCUGUUUUUA
rnacentral:tRNA from 1 species